CCCUUAGAUGUCCGGGGCCGCACGCGUGCUACACUGAAGGAAUCAGCGUGGCUUUCUCCCUGACCCGAAAGGGUUGGGAAACCCGUUGAAUCUCCUUCGUGAUAGGGAUUGGGGCUUGAAAUUGUUCCCCAUGAACGAGGAAUUCCCAGUAAGCGCGAGUCAUAAGCUCGCGUUGAUUACGUCCCUGCCCUUUGUACACACCGCCCGUCGCUACUACCGAUUGAACGGUUUAGUGAGGGCCUCGGAUUGGUCUCGGCCCGCUCUUUACCGGGCGGCGCCGUUGGUCGAGAAGACGCUCGAACUUGAUCGUUUAGAGGAAGUAAAAGUCGUAACA
rnacentral:rRNA from 1 species